GGAGGGUGACUAAGUGAAUGCAGUUUGCCGUCGCGUGUCGCCAAAUCACAGCGAAGUCCACAGGCAGGCGGAUGGAUUGGACCUGAAUCAACAAAUGGAUACAGAAAAACUGGAUGUACACUGCAUAUGAGGGGACAGUAAGGGCGGACUAAGAGUCUGCCUUCAUAUCCUUUUAUCUCUGCAUCAGAUACUGCUGUGAGGAACCUACGGGCAGGGAAAGGAAAAAAUAGCGGACAACUCAUUUCUCUCUAACACCCUUGGAAGCCGUGGAGCUGUGAGCCAGAAUAGAGUCGGCUGUGGGACUCGCUGGGAUUGAAUAUUAUGCUCAUGCCGGUGUGUGUGCGUGUUUGUGUGUGAGCUGAUAUUAGCAGCCCCAUUGGUAUUCAGCGGAGGGAGCUCCAGGAUCUCGCUGCGCCUUUCCCCAGGAUGGGAUCACAGAGCGGGGAUUGUGCUCGCCUGUGGAGAGCCCGCUGAAAUGGAUCUGAAGCCCCGCAGAGAUGGACACCAAAUGGGCAGCAUGGAAGCCAACAUCCACCCUCCAGCGACUAGCUUUCCGCACCUAGCUGCCUCUACCAUCUCCAGCCAUCAGCUCGAACCUUCUCAGCGAGGACUGAACCUGCAGAGUUGAGGCCGAGCUAGACUAAGAUACCAGAAGAGGGUGACAAGCCUCAGAGGAGUUGACGUACAACAAACCAAUCAACCUGUUGAGCAUACGAUUGAGCUUCUUGGACUUCAUCUGAAAUGAAAUAGGCUGCAGUGAUGCUUGAGCAAUGGUAUGGAGCUUUCGGACAUGUCCGGAUUUAUCGACCGGAUAUCCUAUCGAGAUUAUGAGACUUUUGUGCACACCUCAGAGCUGGGCCACUUUUUCAGAUUGGCUAGCGAGUAAUUGAAAAUCCCCCUUGAGAGGGACUCUGUUCUGAUUUGUUGUGGGGGAGGAGGGAUUUUUUUUUUUAAGAAACAAUUUUUUGAAAAAAACCCUCCCUUUAUCCCACAUUUUCCCCUUUUUUCUUUUUCACCAUCUUACUCACACAUUGCGGAGAAAUACAUUAUGAAGCAGCACCAUUCUUCUUCAUCCUCCCUCGGUGACGGAGAGAGAGGAGGGACAGACUGUCCAGAAUAGAUAACGAGCAAGGAGGCUGGCACUGAGGAGAGGAGAAGGGGGGGGGGGGGGAAGCAGAAAAUAGAAGGAAACAGGUA